GACGAACGCUGGCGGCGUGCUUAACACAUGCAAGUCGAACGGCAAGGCCCUGCUUUUGUGGUGUGCUCGAUUGGCGAACGGGUGCGUAACACGUGAUUAACCUUCCCUUGACUUUGGGAUAACUUCAGGAAACUGGGGCUAAUCCCAGCUCGGAGCUCCUGCUGCAUUGUGUGGGUUGGAAAGUUUCGGCGGUUGGGGAUGGACUCGCGGCUUAUCAGCUUGUUGGUGGGGUAGUGGCUUACCAAGGCUUUGACGGGUAGCCGGCCUGAGAGGGUGACCGGCCACAUUGGGACUGUGAUACGGCCCAGACUCCUACGGGAGGCAGCAGUGGGGAAUAUUGCACAAUGGGCGGAAGCCUGAUGCAGAAACGCCGCGUGCGGGAUGACGGCCUGCGGGUUGUAAACCGCUUUCGCCUGUGACGAAGCGGGAGUGACGGUAAUGGGUAAAGAAGCACCGGCUAACUACGUG
rnacentral:rRNA from 1 species